rnacentral:rRNA from 1 species
UACAGAGGUGGCAAGCGUUGUUCGGAAUUACUGGGCGUAAAGGGCGCGUAGGCGGUUCGUUAAGUCCUGUGUGAAAUCCCCCGGCUCAACUGGGGAACUGCACAGGAAACUAGCGGGCUUGAGUUCGGGAGAGGGAAGCGGAAUCCCGGGUGUAGCGGUGAAAUGCGCAGAUAUCAGGAGGAACACCGGUGGCGAAGGCGGCUUGCUGGGCCAGUUCUGACGCUGAGGAGCGAAAGCGUGGGGAGCGAACAGG